rnacentral:lncRNA from 1 species
ACAUUUGCAGGUAAUACAGAAAUGACCACUAUGCUUAUUUCUGUUUACUAAUACAGCGGUACUUCGGGUUAAGUACUUAAUUCAUUCCAGAGGUCCGUACUUAACCUGAAACUAUUCUUAACCUGAAGCACCACUUUAGCUAAUGGGGCCGCCGCGCUGCCAGAGCACGAUUUCUGUUCUCAUCCUGAAGCAAAGUUCUUAACCCAAGGUAACAUUUCUGGGUUAGCGGAGUCUGUAACCUGAAGCAUCUGUAACCUGAGGUACCACUGUAAGGUGAUUUGUUACGUUUAUGGUUGAGUCAGCUCUCGAACCCAGUUCUUCUGGUGUUUAAUACAGUGGAACCUCAGUUGCCGAACGUAAUCCGUUCUGGAAGACCGUUCAACUUCCUAAACGUUCAACAACCGAGGCGCAAUUGCCAGUCGGCAAAAUCCAUUGGAAAAUGGAGAAACGCACCUCGGAAGCCGUUCGACUUCCAAGGCGCAUUCGAAAACGGAAGCACUCACUUCCGGGUUGUCAGGGUUUCGAAAGCCGAAACCUUCAACUUCCGAAGCAUUCGACAACCGAAGUUCCACUGUACCUUGUCUUGGUUUCCACUUUGUGAGGAUGAAAUGCUAUGUGGACCACUGCCAGAAAUUCUAGAAAUCACUUGUAUUUCCUUUUUGCAGUUUACUUUCGACUGUGAGUUCUUUAACGAAGCUUCAAGAACAGUACAGCUUCCUGUGACCCACCUUUUUUCAUUUGGACUUUCUUCAAGCAAAAUCGUAUUAAAUUCAACUGGCCUUAUUCACAAGGUUCAGCUUCAACAUUUUGGUCAGGUAUAAAUACUGAUUAUUAUUAUUAUAUUAUUAUUAUUAUUAUUUCAGGUACAUAAGUUUUCUGUUUUGGGUUAGUUCUUUUUAGGGAGUUCUAGUAAACUAACAUGUAUUGCAUUGUUACAUUUGUUUAGAUAUACCAAGCUUUUAACAUCCUUAUAGAGAGCAGCUGCCAGUCGCUAAAGGUAAAUUUAUUUCCAGAAAUCACUUUUAAACCAGUGUUGGGGGGAGGGGGUAAUCCUUUGCAUGUACCUCAUUACUCACAUAUUCUUAUUUUUGUAAUGUCAUUCGUUCUGUAGUCUUUAUUUCUAAGGUCAUUUUGUACUCUGACUUGCUGUAAAAUUAACCUUAUUUGAUUUUUGGGGGGCUUUGUAGUUGACAGUACAAUUUCAUGUACUAUAUUGAAACCUACUGAUUCACAUUUGAGCAAGUUACAUCCAAUAUUAAGGCUCACCUUGCUCUUCCCUGCUUUUAAAAU